AUCCUAGCCACGUGUCCGACCUGUGUAUCCAUCGCAAUAAUUGACACACAUAUCAUCUCUUAUUGAAUCUUCUUUUCUCUCAGAGUGUACCCUCCGAAUUGAGUCUUACUUCCUCUUGCCGUUUCAGUUUCAAAGGCAGUAACUCAUAGAGGGUGUGUUCGAGAGAGAUGGAUAGAGAAAUGCAAAAUAGCAGCCUGUACAUAUCGCGUGGCCGGCCAGAAGGAUCUGAAAGCGGUGGAAUUAUUAGCAAGAAUCUUGACGAUGAUGGUCGACCAAAAAGAACUGGAACAUGGAUAACUGCAAGUGCCCAUAUUAUCACUGCUGUGAUCGGAUCUGGAGUACUAUCUCUGGCAUGGGCUAUAGCACAGUUAGGAUGGGUGGUUGGGCCGCUUGUUCUCGUGGUGUUCUCUUUCAUCACUUUUUUCACGUCCACUCUUCUUGCCGAUUCCUACAGGUCUCCCGACCCUAUCACUGGCAAUAGAAACUAUACUUACAUGGAUGCUGUGAGAGCCAACUUAGGAGGCAGGAAAGUUCAGCUCUGUGGGUUGGCACAGUACGUGAAUCUGAUAGGAAUUACAGUUGGUUACACCAUCACUGCAUCUAUUAGCAUGGUGGCUGUUAGGAGGUCAAAUUGUUUCCACAAACAUGGGCAUGCUGUGAAGUGCCAGACGUCAAAUAAUCCAUACAUGAUAAUCUUUGCGUGCAUCCAAAUCAUGCUUAGCCAGAUACCAAACUUCCACAAGCUCUCAUGGCUGUCGAUUCUUGCAGCAGUGAUGUCUUUUGCUUAUGCUUCCAUUGGCCUUGGACUAUCCUUAGCAAAAGUAAUCGGCGGCGCGCAUGCAAGGACAAGCUUAACAGGAGUAACAGUUGGGGUGGACGUGUCAGCACAACAGAAAGUCUGGAGGACCUUCCAAGCCCUUGGGGACAUUGCCUUUGCGUAUGCUUACUCUACUGUGCUCAUCGAGAUACAGGACACGCUGAAAUCAAGUCCCCCAGAGAACAAAGCUAUGAAGAGAGCAAGCUUUGUUGGCAUCCUGACAACAACCACGUUCUACAUUCUCUGUGGUUGUCUUGGUUAUGCAGCUUUUGGAAAUGAUGCACCGGGCAAUUUCCUUACUGGUUUUGGAUUCUACGAGCCUUUCGUGCUAAUUGACAUCGCAAAUGUAUGCAUAGCUAUCCACCUUAUUGGUGCCUACCAGGUAUUCUGCCAGCCAAUCUUCAGUUUUGUGGAGAGCAGAUGCCACAGAAGAUGGCCUGAUAGCAAGUUCAUAACAAGUGAGCACGCCAUUAACAUUCCAUUUUAUGGUGUGUAUUACCUCAACUUAUUCAGGCUAGUGUGGAGAACUUUAUACGUUAUAGUGACAGCAGUUCUAGCCAUGAUCCUUCCAUUCUUCAACGACUUCUUGGCUCUUCUUGGGGCGAUCUCUUUCUGGCCGUUGACAGUUUAUUUUCCCGUAGAGAUGUAUAUGGCGAGGACAAAAAUGCCAAAAUUCUCUUUCAGGUGGACCUCCCUGAAGAUGUUGAGUUGGGCCUGCCUGGCAGUAUCGCUUGUUUCUGCUGCCGGAUCAGUUGAAGGCCUGAUCCAAGCUCUCAAGACAUAUAAGCCCUUCAAAGCCCAGCAAUGAUUCUGUUCCGUGAUCAUACUUUCACACGGCUCAAACCAGAAAGUCAGAGAAUCAGUCUGUACUUUACUCAUGAUGCUGAGCAAUAUCAAAUCACCUACCUGUAUUCCGUCAAUUAUAAGUAAAACUCACAUGAUCAUGUCAGAGAGAAACUGCAUUAACACUGAUCGGGAUCUCCUAUUCUAUCAGUCAGAAGCAAUAAGGAAACCCAAACCAGAGCAUCAAAGUUAAAGGUUCUCUGUCUGGUAUCCAAGAUGGUCUUGAGAGAUGAAACGUGUAUUGAAAGCUCUUUUACACCAAAACUCCAAAACUGUUCAAGUACUUUUCCUUUAAAUUCAUCCAUUCAUAAACCCAAGUAACAAGAAAUACUGCUUGAGCGUCUGAUAUCCAAAAGUCCACUCUGUGUGUAUGUCUAUUUGCUCUCAGCUAGAAAAUACACUUCUCUUUAAUUUUUUCACUA